GUUACGGUGGUCUAGCGGUCAGAACGCUGGGUUUGUAAUCCUGGUGUCCCGGGUUCGUUUCCCGGUGGUGCCC
rnacentral:tRNA from 1 species